rnacentral:rRNA from 1 species
CACGUGCGCCAUCAUGUUCAGCUCAGCGGAUCAGCUCAAGUGUGUGGCUACAGCUGGUGUCCUCCAAUGCUUUGUUCCCCAGUCAUCAGCAAUGUGCAAGUUACCCGGACCUUCAUCGAUGGCGGCGCAUGGCUCAAUGUUCUGUCCGUCGAGACAUUCAACAAUCUCCAAGUGCCAUAUGAUCAGCUUCAGCCAACCAAGCAUUUCUCAGGAGUCACUGACGGCUCCACCACCUCGAUAGGGCAGGUUCGCCUCCCUGUCACCUUCAGGCAACGCAAGAACUACCGUACCGAGCUCAUCGACUUCGACGUUGCCCACAUUCGCCUGCCAUACAAUGCCAUCCUUGGGUAUCCAGCCCUGGCCAAGUUCAUGCCAGUGACUCACCAUGGUUACAAUGUCCUCAAGAUGCCGGGAAGCGGUGGAGUCAUCACAGUCCCCUGCGAAGAGAAGGAUGUGGUAUGCUCUCUCGAGCUUGCCUUCCAAGCUGCAUCAGUUGAGGACCCAAACAGCAAGAGUGAG